UACGUAGGGGGCGAGCGUUGUCCGGAGUUACUGGGCGUAAAGCGCGCGCAGGCGGUCGGGUUAGUCGGUCGUGAAAGACCCCGGCUCAACUGGGGCAGGUCGAUCGAGACAGCCCGACUGGAGGGGGUGAGAGGGACGUGGAAUUCUGGGUGGAGCAGUGAAAUGCGUAGAGACCCAGAGGAACACCGGUGGCGAAGGCGGCGUCCUGGGGCCCAUCUGACGCUGAGGCGCGAAGGCCAGGGGAGCGAACGGG
rnacentral:rRNA from 1 species